rnacentral:rRNA from 1 species
ACGCCGCGUGAGUGAUGAAGGUUUUCGGAUCGUAAAGCUCUGUUGUUAGGGAAGAACAAGUGCAAGAGUAACUGCUUGCACCUUGACGGUACCUAACCAGAAAGCCACGGCUAACUACGUGCCAGCAGCCGCGGUAAUACGUAGGUGGCAAGCGUUGUCCGGAAUUAUUGGGCGUAAAGGGCUCGCAGGCGGUUUCUUAAGUCUGAUGUGAAAGCCCCCGGCUCAACCGGGGAGGGUCAUUGGAAACUGGGAAACUUGAGUGCAGAAGAGGAGAGUGGAAUUCCACGUGUAGCGGUGAAAUGCGUAGAGAUGUGGAGGAACACCAGUGGCGAAGGCGACUCUCUGGUCUGUAACUGACGCUGAGGAGCGAAAGCGUGGGGAGCGAACAGGAU